UCCCUUAGUAACUGCGAGUGAAGUGGGAAAAGCUCAAAUUUAAAAUCUGUCAGUCUUUGGCUGUCCGAGUUGUAAUCUAGAGAAGUGUUAUCUGCACUGGACCGUGUACAAGUCUCCUGGAAUGGAGCGUCAUAGAGGGUGAGAAUCCCGUCUCUGACACGGACUACCAGAGCUUUGUGAUACGCUCUCAAAGAGUCGAGUUGUUUGGGAAUGCAGCUCAAAAUGGGUGGUAAAUUCCAUCUAAAGCUAAAUAUUGGCGAGAGACCGAUAGCGAACAAGUACCGUGAGGGAAAGAUGAAAAGAACUUUGGAAAGAGAGUUAAACAGUACGUGAAAUUGCUGAAAGGGAAACACUUGAAGUCAGUCGCAUUGUCUAGGGAUCAACCUUGCUUUUGCUUGGUGUAUUUCCUGGUUAAUGGGUCAGCAUCAAUUUUGAUCAUUGGAAAAAGGUUAGGGGAAUGUGGCAUCUUAGGAUGUGUUAUAGCUCUUGAUUGUAUACAAUGGUUAGGAUUGAGGAACUCAGCACGCCGCAAGGCCGGGUUUUUAACCACGUACGUGCUUAGGAUGUUGGCAUAAUGGCUUUAAUUGACCCGUCUUGAAACACGGACCAAGGAGUCUAACAUAUCUGCAAGUGUUUGGGUGAAAAACCCAAGCGCGUAAUGAAAGUGAAAGUUGAGAUCCUUGUCGUAAGGAGCAUCGACGCCCGGACCAGACCUUUUGUGACGGUUCUGCGGUAGAGCAUAUAUGUUGGGACCCGAAAGAUGGUGAACUAUGCCUGAAUAGGGUGAAGCCAGAGGAAACUCUGGUGGAGGCUCGUAGCGAUUCUGACGUGC
rnacentral:rRNA from 1 species